AAGAAGGAAUGGAGGUAUGUUAGAUAGUCACUUUUGUUAUUUACACAAGUAAUAUUUUUCCUGCAUUUUACUUGUUUAUUCAAGUAUGCUCUUUGCAAUAAAGUCCUGACUGCUAAUCUCUAUUUGCUGACUGACAUUUUUGUUUGUUUGUUUCCACUACGGUGAUAUUUGAGGAGGUAGCUUCAGAUGCUGCAGCAUGACCCUGGGUUGUGUUAACAGUGACCGCAAAUGUCUUGAGCAUUUCCUCCAAAUGUUCCAAAUCCUCCCUGCUUCCCCACUCCCGAAAAGGUCAGUCAGUCAGAAAUGUUGACUGUUGUUAUUAUUUUUAAACUGACAGUGCAGCUAGAUUAAGCCAUUUGUGCUGAAUCACAUCUUCCACGCUGGUGUUUUGCACAGUUUAUUUUUCCCAACUGAAGAAUCGCACAGACUCUUCUACCCCAAGUAAACUGUUGGAGGGGAAGGGGAAGAUGCCGUGAGGAAAUAUGUUGUCUAUUCUCCUGUGAUAGUUCAUCCGAACUGUAUGUCCUUGAUUCGCCACUAGAGGUCACUGGCCCAUCGCAGUCUUGCUUCACCUAGAUCCACCUCCAUUUCUUCUUACACAAAUUAGCACUGCGUUAAUUAACACUGUAGUCCAUCAACGGGCGUUUCUCUGUACAGUACAGGAGCAGAGCUUAAAUAGAAAAAUCAAACCAAAUAUAAAAAGCACCUACCAAAACUCUUCAUCAUGUACAAAUUGGGAACCGCACGUCUGAGUGACCGGGGGCAAGAGUAGAAGAUGGCUUGUGACUAAUGUUGUAGAGAAGAAUGACUGAAAUAACUGUUUGGAAUUAUUCUGGAAUUAGGUUAGAAUGAAGUCUCCUCUGCCAAUCUAAGGGCCUCUUUCCACAAACACACAUGAGAGAAACUUUAUUUAUAUGAACAGUUCACUUGAGAUCAACUGGGACUAGUCAUGAAAAAUGAAGUUUAGAACUGAUUCUUGACACGUGAUGCACAUUUGUCAGGAGGUCAAGGUGAAUCAGAAUAAACAACUUCAAGAAAAUGCCAAAUUCAAGAAAAUAAAAGUAGCUUAAUAUGAUUUAAUAUCAAUAAAGUGGUUAAGAUGAAGUUUCUUAAACUCCUUUUUGGAGGCUGGUUAACAAUGACAUGGAUUUUUGAGGAACAAUUCCAGAGAUUUGCCUGAAUGAAAUAUGCUGAAACCAAAAAGAAAAGCUUGGUCUUUAUUAUCUAUAUGUUACAGAUUAGCUUGAAGGAAAUAAUUAUUACCAAUCUGUACCAUAACAGCUAUACUUAAAUGCAAUGUAACAUUUAAGGUCUGUGGAGCAGAGGAUGUCUUUUUGUUCUGGGCCUGUACAGCAUGCAGCACAAUGAGGUUCUAAUCCAUGAUUGGGGAUUCUAGAUGCUCACAUAAAAUAAACAAUAAUAUAUUAAUAAUAAUAUUUAUUUUAUUCGGGUUAUUGAUUUAAUUUUAUUUUUGAUAAUUUAUCAUUAUCUCUUGGAGCUAAACUGUCAAAGGCUCAUUUAUCAGGUGUGCCACUCCCAAUGCAUAUGUAGUCCUAAGGCCUGAUUUUCAACUUGUAGAAAUAUAAGGCCCCAGUCUGGUAGUCAGAUCUGUGGGAACAGUACCUGGGGACUGUGCAGAGCCCACUGACUUCAGCACAGGUCCAGGCAGGCAUAAUUGUCAACCCACACAGAGCUGGUUGCAGGAAAGCAGCCUUGAAACAGAAGUGACUCUGCCGAAGUCAGAUGGAGUCAGACCUAGGUAAAACAGUGAUGUAAGCAAAAGGAGAAUAGGACCUAUAACACACACUCAUGUGCACAUUCAAAGAAAUAAAACACCUGCAUGUGUAACCCCCACACCUUCUGGGUGUGGUGUUCUAGCCAAUCUAGUGGC